GGGGCCGACCUGGUUUCGACGUGGGUUACAAAGCAGUGGAGGGCAUACCGAGGACCCGUCACCUCGUUAAUCAAUGGGAAUGCAAUAACUGCUAACGACGAACGUUACGCACUGGCAGCCUAAGGGCCGCCGUCCUCGCACUGGCUCGCUGACGGGCUAGGGUCGCAAGACCACGCGAGGUCAUUUACGUCAGAUAAGCUCCGGAAGGGUCACGAAGCCGGGGACGAAAACCUAGUGACUCGCCGUCGUAGAGCGUGUUCGUCCGCGAUGC
rnacentral:tmRNA from 1 species